rnacentral:rRNA from 1 species
GGGUUUUUCCGGGAAUUAUUGGGGGGUAAAAGCGGGGCGUUAGGCCGGUUUUUUUAAGUNUGGAAGGUGAAAAGCCCCCCGGGCUCCAACCCGUGGAGGGGUUCAUUGGAAAACUGGGAAAAACUUGAGUGGCAGAAGAGGGAAAAGUGGAAUUUCCCAUGUGUNAGCCGGUGGAAAUGGGGCAGAGGAUAUUGAAGGAACCACCCAGUUGGCGGAAGGCGGGCUUUUUUUGGUUCUGUUAACUGACGNNUGAAGGGGGGAAAGGGUGGGGGAUUCAAACAGGAUUAGAUAACCUGGUAGUUCACCCCGUUAACGAAGAAUGGUUAAUGUUAGGGGGUUUCCGCCCCUUAAUGGUGCAGGUUACGCAAUAAGCAAUCCGCCUGGGGAGUACGGCCGCAAGGUUGAAAAUCAAAGGAAUUGACGGGGACCCGCCCAAGCGGUGGAGCAAGUGGUUUAAUUUGAAGCAACGGGAAGAACCUUACCAAAUUUUGACAUCCUUUGAAAAAUUUUGAGAAAGAGCCUUUCCCUUUGGGGGGCAAAAGGACCGGUGGGGCAUGGUUGUUGUCAGCUUGGGUUGUGAGAAGUUGGGUUAAGUUCCGCAACGAGGGCAACCCUUAAGGUUAGUUGCCAUCAUUAAGUUGGGCCCUUUAAGUUGACUGCCGGGGGCAAACCGGAGGAAGGGGGGGAAGAAGUCAAAUCAUCAUGCCCCUUAUGAUUUGGGGUACCCACGUUACCAAGGACAAUACAAAGGGCAGGUAAACCGGGAGGUCAAGCAAAUUCCAUAGUUGUUUUCAGUUUGGAUUGUAGUUUGCAACUUGAAUACAAGAAGGUGGAAUUGGUAGUAAUUGUAGAUCAGCAAGGUUCGGGGAAUACGUUUCCGGGUUUUGUACACCCCGCCCGUCACCCCCCGAGAGUUUGUAACCCCCGAAGCCGGUGGAGGAACCAUUUAUGGAGCUAGCCGUCGAAGGUGGGACAAAUGAUUGGGGGAAGUCGAACAAGAGNUAGG